UCCGAAGUUGAAGCUGGCGCUUUGUGCGUUCGCGUGACUUUGUCCCCCGGUGGGUCCAUUUGCGUUGAUGGAUCCUGCGGAAGCUGUGGCGAAAGAUCCUGAUGCGCCACCCUGUGUUGGAUACGAUGGAUAAACAGAUGGAUAUUGUCCACAAGAAUAAUCUCUACAGCCUCCUGAUUUGCGAUGAUGCUUGUAGUGAUGUUUAAAGCUACGUUCUCCUUCUUCGAAAUCCGAGUCAGAGUCUGGGUAAUCUCCGUUCAAAAAUCCGAACUGCGGCGAUCGUUGUUCCCUCUUGUUAUCUGCGGUAAAGUAAACCCAUAUAAUCUAACUAGAACACCAAAACUGUACCAAAACGCAUCUAAGAAAACAAGUUUCUUCUUUCGAAGGUAAGUAACUGACCAGAAACCGUGGAUAUCGCUUCUUCGUGUUGCACAGGGCUCAAAGAUUGUGGAUUCUGGAGCACUUUCGCUGGUUUUGCGAGACACGUCUGGCACAUUACCGCGCACAGCACGAACAGCGGGACGAUGCGUGUGGCCAUUUCGAUGAGGUUCAACCGUUCAGACGUUUGACGUGGAAAGAACCGAAUGAUAAUCAUAGGAAGUUGUUGGUGCACGGCGCUUUUAUACGUGAGACCCUUCACUGUCGAAAUUCAAGGAAGAUACCCAUAGUUCCGUAAUUUCCGGAGAUUACCGACGGCGCGGCGCAUUUGUCAUUGGCUCCUAAUGAGUGGACGGCCUUAUGGUACAAGGACAGCCAAAGUGAACUAUAAGAAAGUGCCAGCCACGACUAAGGACGCUAAUCAGCAGCCUAAGUCGGCAGCUUCGGGGCAUUACGUGGCACGAAAGGCGAGAGAAAGAAAUAAACGAGAUAGGUAGAUAGAUAGAUAGAUAGAGAAAGAGGAAUUUGCGAUUGUGGUAAGUAAUAUCGAAAGAGUAGACGACAUAAGUCAAUACUUUCACAAGAUCAUAUUUUAUUCAGUGCCGUUUGGGAACUUUCGGUGUUAAAUCUGUCGCUUAGAUAAUUAGUCGUUCGUCACUUUCAAGGCUUCAGCUUUAGACGUUUUACUCAGAAAACGGAAAUUAUUUUUGCUGCGAUUAUUUUGUUCCGUGUGGAUAUACAUUAUCGUUCAUAAAUAUCCGGAUACUUAACUCAAGUGUUUACAUAAAUAUGUUCUUUUAUUUAUAAUAAUAAUUAAUAUUAAUGAUUA